rnacentral:rRNA from 1 species
AGAGUUUGAUCCUGGCUCAGAUUGAACGCUGGCGGCAUGCCUUACACAUGCAAGUCGAACGGCAGCAUGGGAGCUUGCUCCUGAUGGCGAGUGGCGAACGGGUGAGUAAUGCAUCGGAACGUGCCCUGAAGUGGGGGAUAACGUAGCGAAAGUUACGCUAAUACCGCAUAUUCUGUGAGCAGGAAAGCAGGGGACCGCAAGACCUUGCGCUUUAGGAGUGGCCGAUAUCGGAUUAGCUAGUUGGUGAGGUAAAGGCUCACCAAGGCGACGAUCCGUAGCGGGUCUGAGAGGAUGAUCCGCCACACUGGGACUGAGACACGGCCCAGACUCCUACGGGAGGCAGCAGUGGGGAAUUUUGGACAAUGGGCGCAAGCCUGAUCCAGCCAUGCCGCGUGAGUGAAGAAGGCCUUCGGGUUGUAAAGCUCUUUCGGUGGGGAAGAAAUUGCUUCGAUUAAUACUCGGAGUAGAUGACGGUACCCGCAUAAGAAGCACCGGCUAACUACGUGCCAGCAGCCGCGGUAAUA